GCCGCCGCAACCCCCUCGCCGUUCCCCUCGCGCCACCACAUCUCGGACCCCGGCCUCCCUUCCCUUAGUCCGCAGUAGCAGCAGCGCCGUCUGCAACAGAGGAGCACCGUUCGCCGCCGAGGAACAGUAGUGCCAUCCGCCACCAAGGAUCAGCCGCGCGCCGGGAACGGCAGCACCAUACGCCAGAGGAUCCGCCGCACCGACUGCUGCUGAGGAGCCCUUAUCGUUCUUCUUCCUCCACCGGUGACCCCUGUCCCUGUUGACUCCCCUUGCCUCCAGAUCUCAACAAGAGUUGGUGGUUAUAUAUGCUUAUUUAUAAGAGCCUCUUUGGUGGGUUGGCUUGAUAACAAUGCAGGAGAACAAUACCCCUGGAGAUGCGCGGAGUAGGCUAUGUCAUCCUAUGACCACAACGAUUGGCUGCUACUCAAGACGCGAGGGCUCAUUAAUAGCAUGGUUCUGCUCACUGAAAUAGGAGAGAUGCUGAACAAGACAGAUGAAGAACAAAUGGCCAAGUACACUUGCUGGAAGAUUGAUGAAACAGAGAGCACAGAGACAGACGGCAAAGCGUAGCAAGGCCACAAGUUGAUCUAAGAUGUUUUGGUGAUUGCUUUGUUCAUAACAUGGUUGACACAUUUUGUUCACAUGGAAGUUAAUGUCGACUUGGUGAUCAAAGACUUGGUCUCUUUUUAAUGGUAAAAAAGGAGACUUGGGCUCUUCCAUGAUAUUUUUUAGUAGUCAUAGAUGUUCUAGUCAUUGAACAAUUGGUCUCAUAGGAACUUGGCCACUGCAUUUUGUAGCAGACCAUGGUUUGAAUGCCAACUUAUGUAUGUCCUUAAUUGUUGGAGCUAAAUUCAGUGAAGAAAACUAAUGAAUCUUCUAUAUAUGUUGAAUGGUAUCUUGUGCAUUGA